CAGUCGCCACGGUAAAACGGAGGGUGCAAGCGUUAAUCGGAAUUACUGGGCGUAAAGCGUGCGCAGGCGGUUUGUUAAGACGGAUGUGAAAUCCCCGGGCUCAACCUGGGAACUGCAUUUGUGACUGGCAAGCUAGAGUGUGGCAGAGGGGGGUGGAAUUCCGCGUGUAGCAGUGAAAUGCGUAGAUAUGCGGAGGAACACCGAUGGCGAAGGCAGCCCCCUGGGCCAACACUGACGCUCAUGCACGAAAGCGUGGGGAGCAAACAGGAUUAGAUACCCGAGUAGUCCCUGUCUCUUAUAC
rnacentral:rRNA from 1 species